AACGAACGCUGGCGGCAGGCUUAACACAUGCAAGUCGAACGCCCCGCAAGGGGAGUGGCGCACGGGUGAGUAACGCGUGGGAAUAUGCCCUUCGGUUCGGAAUAACACAGGGAAACUUGUGCUAAUACCGGAUACGAUCUACGGAUGAAAGAUUUAUCGCCGAGGGAGUAGCCCGCGUAGGAUUAGCUAGUUGGUGAGGUAAUGGCUCACCAAGGCGACGAUCCUUAGCUGGUCUGAGAGGAUGAUCAGCCACACUGGGACUGAGACACGGCCCAGACUCCUACGGGAGGCAGCAGUGGGGAAUAUUGGACAAUGGGCGAAAGCCUGAUCCAGCCAUGCCGCGUGAGUGAUGAAGGCCUUAGGGUUGUAAAGCUCUUUCGCCAGGGAAGAUAAUGACGGUACCGUGGAAAAUAAGCCCGGCUAACUUCGUGCCAGCAGCCGCGGUAAU
rnacentral:rRNA from 1 species